GAGGAAUAUUGGUCAAUGGAGGCAACUCUGAACCAGCCAUGCCGCGUGUAGGAAGAAUGCCCUAUGGGUUGUAAACUACUUUUAUUUGGGAAGAAACCACUCUACGUGUAGGGGGCUGACGGUACCAAAGGAAUAAGGACCGGCUAACUCCGUGCCAGCAGCCGCGGUAAUACGGAGGGUCCAAGCGUUAUCCGGAAUCAUUGGGUUUAAAGGGUGCGCAGGCGGUAAAGUAAGUCAGUGGUGAAAUCCCUUCGCUCAACGAAGGAACUGCCAUUGAUACUGCUAUACUUGAAUAUAGUUGAAGUAGGCGGAAUGUGUAGUGUAGCGGUGAAAUGCUUAGAUAUUACACAGAACACCGAUAGCGAAGGCAGCUUACUAAACUAAUAUUGACGCUCAUGCACGAAAGCGUGGGGAGCGAAC
rnacentral:rRNA from 1 species